rnacentral:rRNA from 1 species
GAUGAACGCUGGCGGCGUGCCUAAUACAUGCAAGUCGAGCGAACGGACGAGAAGCUUGCUUCUCUGAUGUUAGCGGCGGACGGGUGAGUAACACGUGGAUAACCUACCUAUAAGACUGGGAUAACUUCGGGAAACCGGAGCUAAUACCGGAUGAUAUUUUGAACCGCAUGGUUCAAAAGUGAAAGACGGUCUUGCUGUCACUUAUAGAUGGAUCCGCGCUGCAUUAGCUAGUUGGUAAGGUAACGGCUUACCAAGGCAACGAUGCAUAGCCGACCUGAGAGGGUGAUCGGCCACACUGGAACUGAGACACGGUCCAGACUCCUACGGGAGGCAGCAGUAGGGAAUCUUCCGCAAUGGGCGAAAGCCUGACGGAGCAACGCCGCGUGAGUGAUGAAGGUCUUCGGAUCGUAAAACUCUGUUAUUAGGGAAGAACAUAUGUGUAAGUAACUGUGCACAUCUUGGCGGUACCUAAUCAGAGAGCCACGGCUAACUACGUGCCAGCAGCCGCGGUAAUACGUAGGUGGCAAGCGUUAUCCGGAAUUAUUGGGCGUAAAGCGCGCGUAGGCGGUUUUUUAAGUCUGAUGUGAAAGCCCACGGCUCAACCGUGGAGGGUCAUUGGAAACUGGAAAACUUGAGUGCAGAAGAGGAAAGUGGAAUUCCAUGUGUAGCGGUGAAAUGCGCAGAGAUAUGGAGGAACACCAGUGGCGAAGGCGACUUUCUGGUCUGUAACUGACGCUGAUGUGCGAAAGCGUGGGGAUCAAACAGGAUUAGAUACCCUGGUAGUCCACGCCGUAAACGAUGAGUGCUAAGUGUUAGGGGGUUUCCGCCCCUUAGUGCUGCAGCUAACGCAUUAAGCACUCCGCCUGGGGAGUACGACCGCAAGGUUGAAACUCAAAGGAAUUGACGGGGACCCGCACAAGCGGUGGAGCAUGUGGUUUAAUUCGAAGCAACGCGAAGAACCUUACCAAAUCUUGACAUCCUUUGACAACUCUAGAGAUAGAGCCUUCCCCUUCGGGGGACAAAGUGACAGGUGGUGCAUGGUUGUCGUCAGCUCGUGUCGUGAGAUGUUGGGUUAAGUCCCGCAACGAGCGCAACCCUUAAGCUUAGUUGCCAUCAUUAAGUUGGGCACUCUAAGUUGACUGCCGGUGACAAACCGGAGGAAGGUGGGGAUGACGUCAAAUCAUCAUGCCCCUUAUGAUUUGGGCUACACACGUGCUACAAUGGACAAUACAAAGGGCAGCGAAACCGCGAGGUCAAGCAAAUCCCAUAAAGUUGUUCUCAGUUCGGAUUGUAGUCUGCAACUCGACUACAUGAAGCUGGAAUCGCUAGUAAUCGUAGAUCAGCAUGCUACGGUGAAUACGUUCCCGGGUCU